UUUUUGUCUUAUUUAAUUUUUUUUAUUUUUCAGCCUUUUGAAAUGACUCAUAUCUGUUGGGGAACUCAUUACGGCCAGGGAAACAUAAAAUAGGAAAUACUGAGAUGUCAUUUCUAACAGCGUGUGGGUUUUGUGAAUGUCGGAAGGAUUUAAGGAAGCACGGCUCUUCUGUUUAGUGUAAUAAGGCACUCUUUAAAAGAGAGAGAGAAAGAGAGGAGACUGGUCCCUAAUUGUUGGUGCGCCCUGGCUUUUUCUCCCGCAGCCCCGGGAGCCCCUCGAGGAUGCUGCGAGGUGGGCUUGGUGGGUGGUGCUGAGACCCGCGCUGUUGCCGCCGCCGGUCCUGCCGCUGCUGUUGUUGAUGCUGCUGCUGCUGCUUGCUGCUGCUGCAGAGUCACGUGGGAGUCCCCUUUAAGUUUCCAUAGAGAGGCCUCUCCGGUGUCACAUGAUGGACAUGAUAUAAUGAAACAACAUUGUGGAGCGGAGAGCAUUCGGGGAGCCCAGGGCUACAAAAACAAGUGAGUGAGAAGAGGUGGGAGGAAGAGAAACUACGCCACCUCCCCUGCAGACCAGCCCACACGCAGCAGCCGCCUCCGAGACGAGGAGGAGAGGGGUCCGUCGUGGGGGACGAGGGAUGGGGGAACGGGCAAAGGGUGGAGGGCAGGGGUCCUCAGCCCCGCAUCCUGAAAGUCCCCCUCCCCCAGGAGCGGGCAGACACCAACUUUCCUCUACUAGCCUCCUCCAGGACUGCACCUGUCUCCAAAGUCGCGAUAGUCAAAAAGGGGAAAUUCUAGAAGAGGAGCCGCCGCGAUACAUGCGCAUCUGUUUUUUUCCCCCGUUUGCACUUCGCUCACAUGGAAGAAAACAGAAGGAUUUUUAGCAGCGUGUCAGUUACCCGAAGGUAAGUUAUUUAUAGGAGGCAAAGCUGGUCCAACAGGACUUUGGGAGAAGAAUUUUCUUUCCUUCGCUUUAAGGAGACUUGCCAUGUAAUUUAAAGAAAAAGAGAAGAUGAUGUCGGGAAAAGGCAUCUUUUAGGCUCGGUUUCUCGGGUGGAUUUUUUUUUUGGGGGGGGGAUGUACAUGGGUAACACUUUCCCCUCCUCUGGCUUGUGCUGCCCUCCUCCCCCCUCUGCCCCUUCCCAUUCUUCAGCGCCCCUCGGUUUUCCCCUCCUUUUCCCCAGAGGGGUCCCGCAGCCCCAGGAGCCGAUUUGGGGAAGCCGGGAGAGGGAAGGUGGGAUUGGUGGCAUCCGAGAGGGAUUUCGAGGUGAUUUCGCCAUGUUUGGGUGGCUAAGAAGACUUUGGUGCCCCCCAUCCCCCCAGUUAGGUGGCUUGAUGCCACAUGGCUCCUCCGGAGCUGCUGCUGGGUUCAGAAAGUGGUGGCUUUUUUUUUUUCUUCAAUGUCCGCAUUCCAGCUAAUGUUGCGCAGAUAAAAUUCAAACUUGAGGUAAACAGAAGAGGAGGAGGAGGAGGAGGAGGAGGAGGGGAAGAGGGGGGAGGGAAGGGAGGAGAAGGCUGUUUCCAUUUCAGCUACCCACCUCUCCACCCCUCGGAGAACAACAUCCCAAACCUAGGGAUAACUAUUUCAUUUCUUUCCCCUCCCACCCCCACCCUCAACCUUUGCUGUCAACAAAAAUAAGGGGAGGGAGGGGGCGCGCGCGUCCGGGGGUGGCGCCUUCGCUCCCUCUUGGAAAACCUUCGCACCACAUCCCGGAGAUGCCUCCCUCAUUUUUGCUUCCUUUUUCCUCCUUUCCCGCUGGAGAGCACGAGGGUGCCUCGCCUGCCGAAGCCCCUUCGCACUUUGCCCGGGCAGCCGGGCUCUCUUUCAGCCGUCCCGGCGCGCAGGGGCGGGCGGAGGGCUCCGGGGCUGGAGUUUUGCAGCCCGGGGGGGCCACGCCAGCCGGCGGCAGCGCUUCGGAUGCUGAGCAGGUGUGCGGCGGCCGAGCCGAUUUCCUUUUAAAAAUAACUUUUUUUCACUUUUUCCCCGUGCCUUUUCUAUGUGCCAGGACGGUGUGGGAAGUUUGCGAAACCUUAAGGGACCAGGGACGGACCUUGUUCUCCUCGGGGCUGCCAAGUAUCCGGGAGAAGAGAGCCUCCUCCUCCUCUUUCCCAGCCCGCGGGGAUCGGAGCGAAGACUAGGUGGGUGGGUGUUCCAGGGCGGGGAUGGGAGGGCUGCUGACAGCUUGGAAGUCUUCCCUCCGGGUCCGCCUGCCUGCCCACUCCCGGCUUCUCCCACCGGCCUCCAUCCUUUACAAACGGACGGAGCCGGGGGCGAGAACGGAGAGCGCCCACUGCGCACACGCGGGCGGGGGUCCCAGCCCUCUUCAGGAGCGGUUGCGUCAGGGAGGAAGCGACGGACCCCUCGGAGGUGGGGAAGGACGCGCGUGGGGGGGAGCGGGCCAGAGGAACGGAGCCCGCUGGCCGGGGCCGCAUCCGGGGCCGGGCCGCUCCCACGCAGGACGGGGGUGCGCCGUGGGGGCGGAGGCGCGUCCCGGAGCCCCGGCCCCCGGCGGCGGUUUCCGGGCGCGGUCCCCGGGGGCAGACUCUGCCGCUUCCAUUCCCGGCAGGGAGAAAAGGACACGGGCGGAGCUUGAGCGUAAACAGGCUGUCAGCCGCCCGCGGCUCCCCGCCCCUGGCUGACGCGGGAGCUGGGUCCUGGAAGCGGAGCCGCCGCCGCCGCCGCGACCGGCGCUGCCGUCCCCCGGCGCGCGGCCGCGGCCCGGUCCCGCCGUCCCUUGGCGGCGGCGGCGGCGGCGGCGGCGGGCGUGCGGGCGGGCGCGGGCGCGUGCUCGCUCCCGCGCCGCCCUCCCUCCCUCCCUCCGGAGCGCGCCGCCGACGCCCGGCUCGGCCGGCCUCUGUUUUUGUUUUGAUGGGACCCGCGUGCAGCUGACGCGUGUCGAGUCACGUGUCUGCUGGGUGGGAGGGGAGGAAAAGAGGGCGCGUUGACGUCCGUAAGACCCUGCUCCUGGCGGGGGCGGGGCCGAAGGCGGGGGCGGGCCCGGAGGAAGAGGGUAGUUAGCGGUGGUCCCGGAGCUGCCCGCAUCCUCCGGCAGGAUAUGAAAAGAGGAUCAGAUGCUAUGACAGUAGGGAAGUUAGAAAGACACUAUAGUCAUCCUUUGAUUAAAUGGAAGCAGGCAGAGAACUGAUGCUAUGAUAUCUUAGCUACCAGCUGCUAAUGAGAAAUGAACCUCAAGGGACUGACGUCAGAGAUCAGAAACAUCUGGCUUGCUUAUUCAUGACCUGUCAGAAAAACGUAUUGUUGGAGCUGAGAUGGUUUGGUAGAUGCAAGCUUGGAAACAAGGAGUUUCUCUGUUCAUGAACUCAAGAAAUUGUGAGUAAUUAAGAAGAUGAAGAAUGUAUGUGGUGUACUUUGGAGAUCUAUCUACAGAUAAUAUACUUCUUAAACUGAAGAUACCAAUCUGCAUUUCUCAGGGAGAAAUUGGGGGAAAUGGAGUUACCUUCCAGGAAAAUCUGCCAAAGAGGAGUAAGGAGAGAGAGAAACUAAGACUUCUAGACUAUAUGAAAGAUUUAUACCUGCACAUGAGGAAUAUUUGAGAAAGAAAUCUCAAGACUUAGGUUACAAAACACCAUGGCCUCCAAAGGAGAGAUGACUGAUGGGCAAAAGAAGUACAUUACAACUGAGAAAAUUAUGAAGGAAGAACAGCAUAAAAAAUGUUCAAGUAUAAAGUAUAAGGAAAUAUUCAUGUGAAAAAAAAUAUAGUGGAUUGAGUGCAUUUUGCAGAUGAGAAAACCAUGGCUAAGAGAGAAGGGAAGCCAGAAUUACAAAAUUAAUAAGUCUCAAAACUGCCAUCUGGCCCUGGGCAAGCCACAUCCCUGGCCUCCAUUUCCUAAGUGAAAGAUUAGAUGUGGGGAAAAAAUUCUGCAAAGAAGAAUUUUCGUUCACUGGAAUCCAGUUAGAAUCAACUGAGAGAAGAGAUGACAUACAACGAACAGGGACAGGUGAAUGCAGAGAAGCUCCUGGAAGGGUUACCUGGAUUUUUUCAAGGCUAUGAGUUACACAAUCAAGCAGAAGAUUCUUUGAAGCUACAAGAAGAGGUCAAAGCAGCAUGUUCACAAGGUGCUGAUUUUCUGAUCUUCUGCCUCUGUGUCCUCUUGAGAGUCAUUGGGCAGCUUUUCCUAAUCUCUAGACUGCUCCUGCCACCCCAUCUUGUAGACAGAAGUGGAUGCUUUGACGCAAAGAACAGAGUGUUUCGUUUCUAUGGCAACACACCAUCAUAUAUGAAGGACAGAAAGUACAACUUUGCUUGAUACGAAAAACAG
rnacentral:lncRNA from 1 species